UAUAUAUUUCAACUUGCGAAAUUGCUAUGAACGUUGCCUUCAGGCAAUAGCUGAGCUUUUUGACCCGGCAACCACUUCAGCCAAAUCCUUUAACGCAUGAUUCGGAUAGCCAUUCAAGCACAAAACCAAAGGCCAACUACUGCCCAUGGAUGGCGUCAUCCAACUACAAUAAUCAAAAUUUGCCAAUAACAUAGUGACGAUUCUUCCAAUGAUUAAAACACAAACUGAACCUAGGACAACCCUUGAAUAUUUCACACUUCUUAAGACACCUGAUCUUUUUCAUAAUUCAUAUUAAUAUCAGAGAACAGAAGGCCACUUAUAUAAUCAAAAUUCUGCUAACAGACAAUAUUAGUGCAGCAACUUGGAUACAUCUGUCAAAAAUCAUUCAUCAUCUUCACUUUUUGACUUCUUUUUCUUUUUGAUAUCGUCGCUAGCAGGCUGCACAUCCUCUCCAUCUUCAUCUUUACUUUUCUUCUUUUUCUUCUUCUUGGCAUUUCCGUCCUGCUCAGCAUCAGCUCCAUUUAGACCAUUUGAAUUCUCCACAGCUUGCUCCUGCUCCAAUUUUCUCUUCUCUUUCUUCUUUUUCUUCCCUGAUUUAGCAUCCUCUAAAGCAUCUCCAUUUGGAGCAACGGUUGGUUUAUCCUCAGCCAUAGGUUCAGCAUCCUCUGCAGCCUCAGAUUUUGAUUUCUUUUUCUUGCUUUUCUUUGCUGAAGGUACAGCUGGUGCUUCUGUUUCCAUAUCAAAAUCUUUAUUCUGAGUGCUUUCGAUUGCAGCUUUCAUCACAUCAAUGUUUUUACGAGGCGCAACUCCCUUGUCAUAGAAAUCCAAUCGCUCCUCAACUUGUUCUCUUAGUUUCUC
rnacentral:misc_RNA from 1 species